GACGAACGCUGGCGGCGUGCUUAACACAUGCAAGUCGAACGGAAAGGCCCUGCUUUUGUGGGGUGCUCGAGUGGCGAACGGGUGAGUAACACGUGAGUAACCUGCCCUUGACUUUGGGAUAACUUCAGGAAACUGGUGCUAAUACCUGAUAGGAUCUCCUGCUGCAUGGUGGGGGUUGGAAAGUUUCGGCGGUUGGGGAUGGACUCGCGGCUUAUCAGCUUGUUGGUGGGGUAGUGGCUUACCAAGGCUUUGACGGGUAGCCGGCCUGAGAGGGUGACCGGCCACAUUGGGACUGAGAGACGGCCCAGACUCCUACGGGAGGCAGCAGUGGGGAAUAUUGCACAAUGGGCGGAAGCCUGAUGCAGCAACGCCGCGUGCGGGAUGACGGCCUUCGGGUUGUAAACCGCUUUCGCCUGUGACGAAGCGUGAGUGACGGUAAUGGGUAAAGAAGCACCGGCUAACUACGUG
rnacentral:rRNA from 1 species